rnacentral:rRNA from 1 species
GACGAACGCUGGCGGCGUGCUUAACACAUGCAAGUCGAACGGUGAAGCGCCUUCCUUUUUGGUGGGUGUGGAUGAGUGGCGAACGGGUGAGUAACACGUGAGUAACCUGCCCCCUUCUUCUGGAUAACCGCAUGAAAGUGUGGCUAAUACGGGAUAUUCUGGGUCUGUCGCAUGAUGGGUCUGGGAAAGAUAUUGUUUCGGUGGGGGAUGGGCUCGCGGCCUAUCAGCUUGUUGGUGGGGUGAUGGCCUACCAAGGAGGGGACGGGUAGCCGGCCUGAGAGGGUGGACGGCCACACUGGGACUGGGACACGGCCCAGACUCCUACGGGAGGCAGCAGUGGGGAAUAUUGCACAAUGGGCGCGAGCCUGAUGCAGCGACGCCGCGUGAGGGAUGGAGGCCUUCGGGUGGUGAACCUCUUUCGCCAGUGAAGCAGGCCUGCCUCGUUUGUGGGUGGGUUGACGGUAGCUGGAGAAGAAGCGCCGGCUAACUACGUG